UACACCAGCUUGCUUUAUGCAGGCUUCCUGUGCAUACAAUUGCUCCCCAAAUGCCUUAACUGUGCUGGAACCCAGUAUAGAUCUUUGCAUCAGAUAAUGAAGGAAUUGGGAAGCAACCAUUAAAGAAAGAAAACCCCCAAACAUUCUUAGAAAGGUAUUUUUUAAAAUAUAUUUUCUUUCGCUGUCCUUAUCGUUGUUGAAUAAAUGAGCAAAACAAGCAAGUGUGCCCUUAAUUACAACCUUCACUGAUUCAGAUUGGCUUAGUUGAUUGACCAGCCAAUUAAAGCCUGUAGCACUAGACAAGCAUGAAAGCAAAUGGCAUGGUGGGAUAAACAGAAACUCUGCAUAAGCAGCAGAUACUAAAUGAUGAUGCCAAACAUUUGCUUAAUAAAUAAAUAAUGCUCUUAAAAACUUUUUUUAAUCCUGUUAAUAUAUUACAUACUUGAAAGAUCCUGCAAAUGCAAUGAGUUUCACAUUUUUAAUUGGCUUGAAUCUAGACAGUAUUAUUCAUCUUUAAUUAUGGAAAUUCGGUAUAUUUUCAUUUUGGAUGCCGAUGAGAAUUGCACACCCAAAUUCCUCACAUCAAUGGAUCUUGUAGGUAAAAUUGUUGGUGCCAAAGUAAGGUAAACACAUACUGCAUUGUGACAUAUCCAUUUAUAAUAAGAGACUAUGGGGACAAGUAAUGCAUAAAUCAUCCAAAUAAAUAAAUACCUAACUUGUUCCAGAAACAGAGCUCGCUCCAUUCAAUGAGAGCAUCUCUUCUUUUUUUUAGACUGAGACAAAGCAAUUAUUAUAGGCAGAUCACAAACUUUGAAACAAAAGUUUGUAAAAAUAGGCACUUUGAUUUCUGUUGUUCUUGUUUAAUUUGGAAAGCAGUCUAGUUUGUACAGGUAAAAUUGAGAACAAUUUCCACUUGAAAUCAUUUUAGCUAGCAGGACUUUGGCUUAAAUGAUCCAGUGCUAUCACAGUCUGCCCAUUUAAGUUUCAGCCAAACACCCACUUGCAUACAUUUGAGUAUCAAACUUCUUUGUGCAUCAGAUUAUGGCAUACUGUUUUUUUCAGUGAAAGCCAUGUUUGAUUGCACGCAACACAAGCAAGUUUGGGUGAGCACACAAAUGCCAAUUUUUAUUUUUAUGACUUCAAAAAUGGGACAAAUUGGGGGCCAAACAGGACAGGGGGCUCUGUACUGCCAAAAUGGUACUGUUCCCCUUUUAAAGGGAAGGGGUGGCAACCCUGGUUCCAAUGCAACUGAGCUGCUACUUCUUAUACAAAAUACUGGGGAUGCCAAUUGUUAUACAAGUUACCAUGCAAAUAUUAUAGAUGUAUUUUAAUUUGGACACACUAGCUUUUCAGAUUUUAAAAUAAUGGCUUGAAUGGAUUUAAACUGUGAUAAAAAUUUCAGAUAUUGUGAAAACUGAAAUAUGGAUAGUGAAUUCAAAUUAAUUUGUGAACUAAACAUGAUGCAUGAAAAGAGCCGACAGACUGAACAUAUUUUAGCAUGACUAAUACUUGGUUAAAUAAUGGAGUGGCUUUGAGCCAUAUCACAAAAUGACUCACAGACAUGCAAAUGGGCGUCCCCAAGUUUACAAAUGUGUAAAUCCUCUCUCAUGGCUGUGGGGUGAAACAGUGCUAGUGUUGCACAAGAAAGCCCACAAACCUUUGAUUUGUAGCCAUAGUCUCACCAAAAUGUGUUAUCUAAUAUCCAACCGCACAGUCACUAUCAAAUAUACCAUAAAAAAGAUUUUUAUAUAUGAUUUUUUAAUGUGUUAAAGAUCCCUGAUGCCAGGAAAUGUAAAGCUUUUUUUUUAAAGUGUGUUAUACAAGUUGAAAGGGGAAGCUGUGAAUGAUAUAAACAAGCCGUGCAAAAUUCCAAAUGCAUGUACACAUUCAUAAACUCAAAGCAUGAUGAAGACCCUCACCCAAGAGUCCAAAACUCAACUAGCAUUGUUGCAACUUCCUGAAAUCAAAGCAUAUUUUUUUUACUCUUUGGAGGGUUGAAGAAAUUUGAAUAAUUAAUACGGAGACUGAUAGCCACACAAAGGACCUCUCACAACAAAGGACACCCAAAAUGUCACCAACAUUAUCACAAAAUCAAAUCAGUGCUACUAUUUACAUAUGCCAUUCAGCUCAGUUUACAAGCUUGCUAAACUGCAAUAGUUCCACUGAUGUCACUAACAUACAAAUCUUGACAGGACCAUUACUACCCAAAGGAGGUAUUUACAUGCCCAAAGAACGUUCUGCAUGAGCAUCUAUGGAAAUGUGAUUACAGCUGUAAAAUCACAGGUGGUUUGGAAAUUCCUUUUUUUUAAAAAAAAGGGGGGGGGAGGAGAAGCAGCAGCUUUGACAAUUCCUAUACAUCCCAAGAAAGAAAAUGUAAAAAGGCAGGGGGAAAGGUGUAUGAAAACACCAGGCUUCAAACAAGAAGCUGUGAUUAGAUAUCAGAGGUUUUCCUAUUAUUAUGUUAUCUGAACAUGCCAGAAUGCAGAUAUAAGCAUUUCAGUGCAUGAGAAAAUAUGAGCAAAAACUGAGCUGUCAACUUUUAAAGAUGCCAACUGAUUAGACAGAAGCUCUAUUCAAAUGUCAUCAAUUUUACCCUGUGUAAUUAAAUGCAUUUCUAAACCUAUGAGAGUUUUAUCAGCAGGAGCUUGCAGAGAGGAAGACUAAAUUUAAGCAAACGUUACUUUAACAAAAAUGAACGGUUCAGCCACAUGUGUUUACAAUGGUAUUCAAGACCAAUUAAAUGUCAUUUAUCAUUACAAAUGAUACUGUUCCUUUUUGACAAUGGGGAAAUCUGAUCACAGAUCUGCCAUGUAAUGGCUUCCUGGGAAGCCAAAUCCCAUGACAAAUAUUUCAGUGCUGCUUAAUCAUUAUUUCUGUCUAUCCUGGGGAGGGGAGAAACGACUACAUUGGCAUUUUUAUUAUCGCCUAUUCCUACCUCAAGCAAGUCUGAAAUAUCUGUGAAGACUGCACUGUAGGUCUUCCAGUGAGAAGCAAUGCACAGCCAAUGGAUUAUUUUGCCCUUUACAAGCAUGCAUCUUGGCUCUGAGUAUUGGAAGACUUGUUCCCUCCCUUGCUAGACUUUUCCCACCUGGCCUGGGAAGGCCCUGACUGACUCCAGCUACAAAAGCUGAGGCUGCUAACAGAAUCCUUGGCUCGGGUAUUGUUUGGGGGGGGGUCGUUGCUGUUAAUUUUUUGUGUCUUUAUGUUGCCUCUUAUAUUGUUCAAUUUGGUUGUGUACUUUUUGAUGUUUUGUCUACUGUUUAUGACUACUUUUGUUAUGUUUGGAGUUACAUAAUUUUCCAUAAGUUGUACGCUGCCUUGAGCAUGGUUUAAACUUUGGAAAGGUGGCAUACAAAUAAAAUGACUGAUUGAUUGAUGUA